GGAGGGUAUAGCUCAGUGGUAGAGUGUGUGCUUAGCAUGCAUAAGGUCCUGGGUUCAAUCCCCAGUACCUCCA
rnacentral:tRNA from 1 species